CACCGUUUCAGUGGCAUUUAAAUCCCCGGCGCUCCUCAGUGUAGGUGACGCGCGCUCGCCCCCCCAGGCAGCCCGGGCCGCGGCAGUAGCUGCGGCCGCUCCCGGAGCUGACUUGGAGCACUGGGACCAAAGGGAGUCGAGACUGCCAUCUGCGCGCGCCCGGCUCUGCGCGCCUCCGCCGCCAGAUGUGGGGGGAUGGGAGGCCCCCUCCGCGGCCCCUUCCCCACCCAGCCCAGAAAGCUGAACUGGUAAGAGGACGAAUCGCAUCCAGGAACUGCGCAGCCCUGGCCACAGCCGGGACACCCUGCUCAGAUCUCAGAGCCUGGGGCCUGAAAACCACCACAGUCCCCACGUACCGAGGCUGCUGAGGGAUUGGGGGAGUAGAGGGUGAAGGAAAGGUAGAGAGCAAACCCCUGAAAAAAGUCCGAGGUUUCGUUGUAAUUCCCAAGCUUUUGCUAUUAAGAACUGGGUUCUUCCAUCAAUCACCGCCCCCCCCCCACGCACAUGUUGCUGCAGUUUCUCACGGUCUGUUUUUCCUGAACCCAUCCACAGCUGGGAGAUUAAUCAACCACACUGAAAACGGGGGGUGUGGGGGAGGGAAAGGAAGAGUUGGAACGUAGAUGUUUGAAACAAAUGUGUAUAAAUAAAUGAAUUUUUGAUAACUCCGUUAUUGACCUAGAAACUAGCAGCUUGUUAAGGGAACUCCACUCUACUC
rnacentral:lncRNA from 1 species